rnacentral:rRNA from 1 species
UAGGACGUGUGAUAGUACCUUACUACAUUCUAGGAUACCUGUGGUAAUUCAUAGAGCUAAUACAUGCUGAAAACACUCGACUGUCGGAAGGGGUGUAUUUGGAUUAGAUAAAAAACCAAUGCCCUUCGGGGCUCCUUGGUGAAUGUUUUCAUUAAUAACUUAACGAAUCGCAUGGCCUUGCAGCCGGCGAUGGUUCAUUCAAAUUUCUGCCCUAUCAACUUUCGAUUAGGGGUAGGAUAGUGGCCUACCAUGGUGGGCUCAACGGGUAACGGGGAAUUAGGGUUCUUGGAUUCCGGAGAGGGAGCCUGAGAAACGGCUACCACAUCCAAGGAAGGCAGCAGGCGCGCAAAUUACCCAAUCCCGACACGGGGAGGUAGUGACAAUAAAUACUGAUACGGGGCUCUUUUGGGUCUGACGUAAUUGGAAUGAGUACAAUCUAAAUCCCUUAACGAGGAACUGAAUUGGAGGGCAAGUCUGGUGCCAGCAGCCGCGGUAAUUCGUCAGCUCCAAUAGCGUAUCGAUUAAAGUUGUUGCAGUUAAAAAGCUCGGUCCGCAUUAGUUGAACCUUGGGUUCUUGGCCGGCCGGUCCGCCUCAGCCGCGAGUACUGUCCGGCCGUUCCUUUCCUUCUGGGGAAUCCCAUGGCCUUCACUGGCUGUGGGGGGAACCAGGACUUUUACUGUGAAAAAAUUAGAGUGUUCAAAGGGCCCAGGCAACUUUGCUCGAAUACAUUAGCAUGGAAUAAUAGAAUAGGACGUGUGGUUCUAUUUUGUUGGUUUCUAGGACCGCCGUAAUGAUUAAUACGUGCCGAUUACGU